AUCCAGUUGACGAAUCCCAAAUAAGACGAAACGCACUUCCUGUAU
rnacentral:hammerhead_ribozyme from 1 species